AACGUUGGCGGCGUGGAUUAGGCAUGCAAGUCGCACGAGUACACCAAUUAGCUUGCUAAGAGGUGGAUAGUGGCGCAAGGGAGAGUAACGCGUGGUUACUUGCCCUCGAGACCGGGAUAGUGUUGGGAAACUGGCAGUAAUACCGGAUAACAUCUUCGGAUCAAAUGGUGUGAUUCCGCUCGAGGAUAGGACCGCGUACUAUUAGCUUGUUGGUGAGGUAAUGGCUCACCAAGGCUGCGAUGGUUACCGGGUGUGAGAGCAUGGCCCGGCUCACUGGGACUGAGACACUGCCCAGACACCUACGGGUGGCUGCAGUCGAGAAUCUUCGGCAAUGGACGAAAGUCUAACCGAGCGACGCCGCGUGCGGGAUGAAGGCCCUCGGGUUGUAAACCGCUGUCAGUAGUUAGGAAGUCCAUGAGGGUUAUCUCUCAUGGUUGACCGAUCUUCAGAGGAAGGACGGGCUAAGU
rnacentral:rRNA from 1 species